rnacentral:lncRNA from 1 species
AUGUGGACCAUGCUCUUCCUUGUUGGAAUUGGGCUCCCCUUUGUCAUGAUAGGCCUGCCCUUCCCCCUGGGUGGGAGGCCCUGCUUCAGGUUUUGUCCCUAUCACUGGAGCACCCCAGGGAGUGGCGCCUCUGUACAUGAGAACUGAGGCCAAGUGGGAGGGACCUUAUGUGAACCAAGGGAGCAAGUCUUUCCUCAUAACUUGUCAUGGACCUUCCAUUGAGAAGGGGCACAACAGGUCUUGGGGUCUCUGUUAACCCACAGGAGAGCCUGUCCCACUUCCUCUUUGUUCCUUUCCUCUGUGUCUGCGUCUGUGGAGCCAUCUACGCUGGAUUGUUCCUCCCUGAGACCAAAGGCAAGACAUUCCUGGAGAUCUCUGAGGAAUUACACAGACUCAGCUUGCCCAUGCGGGCCCAGGGCCCCACAAGGAGCAGCAGGGAGGUCAUCCAGUCCACAGAGCUAUAGCUGCACAGUUGUGGCAGGUGCUAAAGGUGGCUGCUGCCCUGUCCUUUGCUUUUCAGAAUGACUUGCAUUUUAACGAGUGUUUAUUCAGGACCUACUCUGUGCAGGCAUGGUACCAGGUGUUUAGCAAUUAUUGGUGAGCCAGGGAGGCAGGACAUGCAACCACUUCAUGCUCAAUGUCUAAAGAUAACCAACAGGAAACCAAUUAAAACAUUACUUGUCGGAAUGCAGUGGAAGAGAAAUACAGGUGGUGCUGGGACCCUGACCUGGUCUGGGAGGAGGUGGUCAGAAAAGGAUUUUCUGAGAAACCGAUUUUUGAAAUCAACUUUAUUGGAAUAUAAUUUACAUACAAUCAUAUGUAUCCAUUUUAAGUAAACACCUGCUGAGUUGCGACAGAUGUAUACACCCAUGAAAUACCACUAUAAUCAAGGUAGACCAUUCUCAUCACCUCCAAAGCACCCUUAUACCCGUUGGCUAUCAAUAACCCACUCCACCCCCUACCCCAGGCAACCACUGAUCUGUUUUCUGCCACUAUCAGUCAGAUUUGCCUUUUUUAUACUUUUAUAUAAUUCUAUAUUAUUUGUACACAUUUGUGUCCAGCUUUCUUUGGAUAAAGUUUAGUUGCAUGUGUUAGUAUACAUUCCUUUGUGUUGCUGAGUAGUUAUCCCCUGUAUGGAUAUACCAUGAUUUGUUUAUCCCUUUGCCUGUUGGGGGCUGGGGAUAUAGCUCAGUUGGUACAGUGCUUUCCUUGCAUGCAUAAGGCCCUGGAUUCAAUUCCCAGCACUGCCAAAAAAAAAAAAAAAAGUCCCUUUGGUAGACAUUUGGAUUACUUCUAAUUCUUGGCCAUCAUGAAUAAAGCUGCUGUGAAUAUUCCUAUGCAAAUUGUUGGAUACAUGUGUAUUUUCAUUUUCUGUGCAUCUGUUUGGGCUGCUAUAACACAGUAUCAUAGACUGGGUGGCUUAUAAACAAUGGAAAUAUACUCCUCAUAAUUCUGGAGGCUGGAAAGACCAGGGUUAAGGGCCCACUUCCCGGUUUAUAAACAUUUGUUUUCUCGCUGUAACCUCCCAUGGCAGAAGUGAAGAGCUUCAUCUCUUUUAUAAGGCACUAGUGGAUCCCAUUCAUGAAAGCUCUACCCUCAUGACCUAAUCACGUUUUAAAGGCACAACUUCCGAAUACCAUCAUAUUAGGUAGCAAGAAAUCUCUAGAGAGUAAUAUUUAUUUGGGAAUGACAGAGCAUUGCAAUGGGAAUAUGUGGGCCAAUACUAAACUAUGGGUGCAUUCAAGAAGGUCAGACAAGUAGUUUUUAUAGGGAAAAAAGGAAAAUUUUUUGGUGAGCUGCGUGGAUAAAAAGUAUUCAUUGGUCUGUUUUGCAAGGUGAUUAUAGUAGUGUUUUAUACUCUCACUAGCAGUGAUUUGAGAGUUCUGGAUACUCCAAAUCAUCAAUACUUGGUUGGUAUUGUCAAUCUUUUCAAUUUGGCCAUUCUAGUGAGUGUGUAGAAAGUAGUGUCUCUUUGUGCUUUAAUUAUGGUAUUUCCUUGAUGACUAAUAAUGUUG